AUUGAACGCUGGCGGCAUGCCUUACACAUGCAAGUCGAACGGUAACGGGCCUUCGGGUGCCGACGAGUGGCGAACGGGUGAGUAAUGUAUCGGAACGUACCUUUCAGUGGGGGAUAACGUAGCGAAAGUUACGCUAAUACCGCAUAUUCUGUGAGCAGGAAAGCAGGGGAUCGCAAGACCUUGCGCUGAUUGAGCGGCCGAUAUCAGAUUAGCUAGUUGGUGAGGUAAAGGCUCAUCAAGGCGACGAUCUGUAGCGGGUCUGAGAGGAUGAUCCGCCACACUGGAACUGAGACACGGUCCAGACUCCUACGGGAGGCAGCAGUGGGGAAUUUUGGACAAUGGGGGCAACCCUGAUCCAGCCAUGCCGCGUGAGUGAAGAAGGCCUUCGGGUUGUAAAGCUCUUUCGGCCGGGAAGAAAUCGUAUGGGUUAAUACCCUGUGCGGAUGACGGUACCGGCAUAAGAAGCACCGGCUAGCUACGUGCCAGCAGCCGCCGUAAAAC
rnacentral:rRNA from 1 species